ACAGCAGGCGCCUCCUGCGGGACUCCGGGACGGUGCUGGGCGGGUCGGCGGCGGAGCCCGGGGGCAGCAGAGCCCGCUGCCCGCCGUCUGCCGGGAGCGCGGCCGCCCGCCCCGGGUCCCCGCAGCAGCCUCGGUGCCCCGAGUGCGUCGGCACCGCCCGCCCGGCCUUGGCGCGGCCGCGGUGACUCGGGCCCGGCUCUAGCUGCCCGUCCCCCUCGACUGUCGGCUCCGUGUGUCUGCUGAUUUGGCUGCAUCUGUCCUGCAUAUUUAUGGUCGCCUGUCACUGUCACAUUCCCUGGCCGUUGACAGUUUCCAAAGCACUUGGGCCAGAAGAAACUCGGGAUUUGGGGAGUUCAUAACAGGUGGAGGCGCUGAAGGGAGGCGACCCGCCCGGGACUCAGCCCGACGAGGCGGGAGCUCUAGGAGUUGCUGGCGACUCUGUCGGGAACAGUGUUGGGAGGUGGCCCGUGGCUGCCAGGGUGUCCUUGCUGUCAACUGCUGGACUCGGAGCGGGACCUGUGCCCCGCCCCGAGCACAGUGUGGAGGCCGCUCGCUUAAGGGUCCUGCAAGUGAAGGUGCUGGGGCUGGGGGACUUUAGUCACCCGCUUCUCACGUGAUUGCUGCGCCCUCCAGCUAGGCGGACAGUGACUCCUCUUUCUCCAGAGCCAACUUUGGAUCUUUCUCACCUGUGCUUUUGUAACCUUUUGAUUAGCAAAAGCAAGACGAAUUGUUCCCGGAACACUUAAGCUGCCUGGAAACUUACUUACAAGAAAAAUCGAGCGUUAAUUCAUCAGGGACAUCCUGAGGGUUUUGCUGUCGGGCCAGUUAACUGAUUGCAAAUUCUCCCCAAGUUUAAAACUAGGUGAGCUGCUUUGGGGAGCAGCCUGAGAUCAGGGCUCGGUGGUCUGACAGCUGAGCAGGAGGCCCGGGUAAGGGAUCAUGGUGGACUUACAAAGCCUGGCAGGUUCAGGAAAAGAUACUUUCAAAUAUGUGUUCUGAAUCUUCAAAAUAUUAAGUUAUGGCUGAGGCAAGAAGAUUACAAGUUUGAGGACAGCCUAGGCAACGUAGACCCUGUCUCAAAAAAAAGACAGAAAAAUCAGCAAAUCUCAGCGGAAGGUAAAUAACAGCUAAAAUAUUAUAUCUUUAUAUCAAUUAUUAAAAGAUGUAGGCUUAGAUUUGUAGCACCGUCAUUAAAAAUAAUAGGAGUGUUUUAAAAAUAUAGUAACCCUAUUUAUGAAAAUUCAAAUAGUAUUCUAUAAUAAUUUUAUCUUAAUUAUAAGAUAAGAACUAGAUUUUGAUGAUAACAAGCUCUGGAAAUUCAACUUUAAGGUAAUUCUGCAAGCAACAAGCAUAUCAUUGUACUACUGAUUAGAAAAAGAAAUACUCCAUUGGUGGAAAAUAAUUUUAAUAGAUGAAAGUGAUGAAUAUUGGAUGUGAGUUUAGAAUUGGGAAGUUGAGAAGUCUUGUGGUUAUUAUAGCCACUAUGUGGCUACUGUGUCUUGAAGAUUGCAAAACAAAAUAACAUUUUUAAAAAGAAUGGAAAGUUGAUGAAUAGUAUGCAUAGUUUUUAAGAAUAAAUUGAACAACUUCAUAUUUUGUUACUCAAAAAUCUAACAAUUAUGGUUGUGUGGACCAAAGUACCUUCAUCUAUUGCUUAUGAACCAGAGAUUCAGAGCAUCAGAUAACUACCCUUACAGAGCAUAUAAACGUCUACUGCUUAACGCCUAACCCAAAUCAUUAUGGUCCACCAUUUCAUAAAAUGAUGUUUUAAAAUUAGUGUUGUUUUUCAGUUUGCACAUAUUCUUUCCUUUCAG
rnacentral:lncRNA from 1 species